rnacentral:lncRNA from 1 species
AUACUUUCUCCCUUUUAAUACUUUUUCCUUUCUUUUCGUGUGACAGACUGGCAGUGACUCUAUUACGUGAUAUUCUGGAAAUUAAGAACUACAGAAAUGAAUGUAUUGCAUUGAAUAUCCAGUGUCAUUAUCUAGACAGUUUGCCAUUUGCCCUUUGCAUUAUUGUUUCUAGCUUGUAAGAGUGGGGCUGUUGUCUCUAAUGUUAUUGAUGCAGGUUCUGCUAAGCUACGGAACCUACACAAAUUUGGAGCUUCUUCAACAUUAUGGAUUUCUUCUGACUGACAACCCAAAUGACAAAGCUUUUAUACCUUUAGAACCAGAUAUGUACUCUCUGUUCAUGGGAGAAUGAGUUACUCUAUAUUCAGCCAGAUGGGAAAAUUUUAUACCUUUAGAACCAGAUAUGUAUUCUCUCUGUUCAUGGGAGAAUGAGUUAACUCUAUAUUCAGCCAGAUGGGAAACCAUCCUUUGCGCUACUAUCAACAGUGCGAUUGUGGGCAGUCCCACAAAACAAGCGCAGGUCUUUU